rnacentral:rRNA from 1 species
UAGUCCUAGCCGUAAACGAUGUUCACUAGGUGUAGGAUGUCGACAGGCAAACUGUGCUGAAGCUAACGCGAUAAGUGAACCGCCUGGGGAGUACGUCCGCAAGGAUGAAACUCAAAGGAAUUGACGGGGGCCCGCACAAGCGGUGGAGCGUGUGGUUUAAUUCGAAGCUAAGCGAAGAACCUCACCAAGUCUUGACAUAUAUCUAGUACCGAACCGAAAGGGGAGGGACCCGUGCUUGCAUGGGAGGAUAUACAGGUGGUGCAUGGUCGUCGUCAGCUCGUGCCGUGAGGUGUUGGGUUAAGUCCCGCAACGAGCGCAACCCUUGUAAUUAGUUGCCAGCAUUUAAGAUGGGCACUCUAAUUAGACUGCCGUCGAAGAGACGGAGGAAGGAGGGGACGACGUCAGAUCAUCAUGCCCCUUAUGACUUGGGGCUACACACGCGCUACAAUGGGUUAGGCAGAAGGCAAAGCAGCAAUG